UACGUAGGGGGCAAGCGUUGUCCGGAAUCAUUGGGCGUAAAGCGCGUGUAGGCGGUCCGGUAAGUCGGCUGUGAAAGUCCGGGGCUCAACUCCGGAUCUGCGGUGGGUACGGGCAGACUAGAGUGAUGUAGGGGAGACUGGAAUUCCUGGUGUAGCGGUGAAAUGCGCAGAUAUCAGGAGGAACACCAAUAGCGAAGGCAGCUCGCUGGGACGUUACUGACACUGAGGCGCGAAAGCGUGGGGAGCGAACAGG
rnacentral:rRNA from 1 species